AGUGAACGCUGGCGGUAGGCCUAACACAUGCAAGUCGAACGGCAGCACAGUAAGAGCUUGCUCUUACGGGUGGCGAGUGGCGGACGGGUGAGGAAUACAUCGGAAUCUACUUUUUCGUGGGGGAUAACUUAGGGAAACUUACGCUAAUACCGCAUACGACCUACGGGUGAAAGCAGGGGAUCUUCGGACCUUGCGCGAUUGAAUGAGCCGAUGUCGGAUUAGCUAGUUGGCGGGGUAAAGGCCCACCAAGGCGACGAUCCGUAGCUGGUCUGAGAGGAUGAUCAGCCACACUGGAACUGAGACACGGUCCAGACUCCUACGGGAGGCAGCAGUGGGGAAUAUUGGACAAUGGGCGCAAGCCUGAUCCAGCCAUACCGCGUGAGUGAAGAAGGCCUUCGGGUUGUAAAGCCCUUUUGUUGGGAAAGAAAAGCAGCAGGUUAAUACCCCGCUGUUCUGACGGUACCCAAAGAAUAAGCACCGGCUAACUUCGUG
rnacentral:rRNA from 1 species